CGGGAUGGACGUACCUCUGGUGUACCAGUGGUCCUGCCAAGGGCAUGGCUGGGUAGCUAUGUACGGAAUGGAUAAGCGCUGAAAGCAUCUAAGCGCGAAGCCAACUUCAAGAUAAGAUUUCCCACCGAAAGGGUAAGACCCCAGAAAGACUAUCUGGUUGAUAGGUCGAAGGUGUAAGUGUAGCAAUGUAUUUAGCUUAUCGAUACUAAUAGGUCGAGGACUUGACCAAU
rnacentral:rRNA from 1 species